AACGAACGCUGGCGGCAUGCCUAACACAUGCAAGUCGAACGGGAUCCAUCCUUCGGGGUGGUGAGAGUGGCGGACGGGUGAGUAACGCGUGGGAACCUGCCCAGUGGUGGGGGAUAACUGCGGGAAACUGCAGCUAAUACCGCAUGAGCCCGAGAGGGGAAAGAUUUAUCGCCAUUGGAGGGGCCCGCGUUCGAUUAGGUAGUUGGUGAGGUAAUGGCUCACCAAGCCGACGAUCGAUAGCUGGUCUGAGAGGAUGAUCAGCCACACUGGGACUGAGAUACGGCCCAGACUCCUACGGGAGGCUG
rnacentral:rRNA from 1 species